rnacentral:rRNA from 1 species
UACGUAGGGCGCAAGCGUUAUCCGGAAUUUAUUGGGCGUAAAGAGCUCGUAGGCGGUUUGUCGCGUCUGCCGUGAAAGUCCGGGGCUCAACUCCGGGAUCUGCGGUGGGUACGGGCAGACUAGAGUGAUGUAGGGGAGACUGGAAUUCCUGGGUGUAGCGGUGAAAUGCGCAGAUAUCAGGAGGAACACCGAUGGCGAAGGCAGGUCUCUGGGCAUUAACUGACGCUGGAGGAGCGAAAGCAUGGGGAGCGAACAGGA